rnacentral:rRNA from 1 species
UGUCCAACGUUAAUCGGGGCAGGGUGAGUCGACCCCUAAGGCGAGGCCGAAAGGCGUAGUCGAUGGGAAACAGGUUAAUAUUCCUGUACUUGGUGUUACUGCGAAGGGGGGACGGAGAAGGCUAUGUUGGCCGGGCGACGGUUGUCCCGGUUUAAGCGUGUAGGCUGGUUUUCCAGGCAAAUCCGGAAAAUCAAGGCUGAGGCGUGAUGACGAGGCACUACGGUGCUGAAGCGACAAAUGCCCUGCUUCCAGGAAAAGCCUCUAAGCAUCAGGUAACAUCAAAUCGUACCCCAAACCGACACAGGUGGUCAGGUAGAGAAUACCAAGGCGCUUGAGAGAACUCGGGUGAAGGAACUAGGCAAAAUGGUGCCGUAACUUCGGGAGAAGGCACGCUGAUAUGUAGGUGAAGCGACUUGCUCGUGGAGCUGAAAUCAGUCGAAGAUACCAGCUGGCUGCAACUGUUUAUUAAAAACACAGCACUGUGCAAACACGAAAGUGGACGUAUACGGUGUGACGCCUGCCCGGUGCCGGAAGGUUAAUUGAUGGGGUUAGCGGUAACGCGAAGCUCUUGAUCGAAGCCCCGGUAAACGGCGGCCGUAACUAUAACGGUCCUAAGGUAGCGAAAUUCCUUGUCGGGUAAGUUCCGACCUGCACGAAUGGCGUAAUGAUGGCCAGGCUGUCUCCACCCGAGACUCAGUGAAAUUGAACUCGCUGUGAAGAUGCAGUGUACCCGCGGCAAGACGGAAAGACCCCGUGAACCUUUACUAUAGCUUGACACUGAACAUUGAGCCUUGAUGUGUAGGAUAGGUGGGAGGCUUUGAAGUGUGGACGCCAGUCUGCAUGGAGCCGACCUUGAAAUACCACCCUUUAAUGUUUGAUGUUCUAACGUGGGCCCCUUACCGGGGUUGCGGACAGUGUCUGGUGGGUAGUUUGACUGGGGCGGUCUCCUCCUAAAGAGUAACGGAGGAGCACGAAGGUUGGCUAAUCCUGGUCGGACAUCAGGAGGUUAGUGCAAUGGCAUAAGCCAGCUUGACUGCGAGCGUGACGGCGCGAGCAGGUGCGAAAGCAGGUCAUAGUGAUCCGGUGGUUCUGAAUGGAAGGGCCAUCGCUCAACGGAUAAAAGGUACUCCGGGGAUAACAGGCUGAUACCGCCCAAGAGUUCAUAUCGACGGCGGUGUUUGGCACCUCGAUGUCGGCUCAUCACAUCCUGGGGCUGAAGUAGGUCCCAAGGGUAUGGCUGUUCGCCAUUUAAAGUGGUACGCGAGCUGGGUUUAGAACGUCGUGAGACAGUUCGGUCCCUAUCUGCCGUGGGCGCUGGAGAACUGAGGGGGGCUGCUCCUAGUACGAGAGGACCGGAGUGGACGCAUCACUGGUGUUCGGGUUGUCAUGCCAAUGGCACUGCCCGGUAGCUAAAUGCGGAAGAGAUAAGUGCUGAAAGCAUCUAAGCACGAAACUUGCCCCGAGAUGAGUUCUCCCUGACUCCUUGAGAGUCCUGAAGGAACGUUGAAGACGACGACGUUGAUAGGCCGGGUGUGUAAGCGCAGCGAUGCGUUGAGCUAACCGGUACUAAUGAACCGUGAGGCUUAACCUUACAACGCCGAAG